rnacentral:miRNA from 1 species
CUGUCAAGGAUGUGGUCUCCU